rnacentral:ncRNA from 2 species
CUCUUAUCCAGAGUGGCGGAGGGACUGGCCCUGUGAAGCCCGGCAACCAUCAGAUCAGCGUAAACUGAUUUGAACGGUGCUAAUUCCUGUAGAACAAAGGUAUUUGUUCUCACAGAUGAGAG